rnacentral:rRNA from 1 species
UGCAGCCGAGCGGUAGAGAUUCUUCGGGAUCUUGAGAGCGGCGCACGGGUGCGGAACACGUGUGCAACCUGCCUUUAUCAGGGGAAUAGCCUUUCGAAAGGAAGAUUAAUGCCCCAUAAUAUUUAGAAUGGCAUCAUUUUAAAUUGAAAACUCCGGUGGAUAGAGAUGGGCACGCGCAGGAUUAGAUAGUUGGUAGGGUAACGGCCUACCAAGUCAACGAUCCUUAGGGGGCCUGAGAGGGUGAUCCCCCACACUGGUACUGAGACACGGACCAGACUCCUACGGGAGGCAGCAGUGAGGAAUAUUGGACAAUGGGUGAGAGCCUGAUCCAGCCAUCCCGCGUGAAGGACGACGGCCCUAUGGGUUGUAAACUUCUUUUGUACAGGGAUAAACCUUUCCACGUGUGGGAAGCUGAAGGUACUGUACGAAUAAGCACCGGCUAACUCCGUGCCAGCAGCCGCGGUAAUACGGAGGGUGCAAGCGUUAUCCGGAUUUAUUGGGUUUAAAGGGUCCGUAGGCGGACUCGUAAGUCAGUGGUGAAAUCUCACAGCUUAACUGUGAAACUGCCAUUGAUACUGCGGGUCUUGAGUGUUGUUGAAGUAGCUGGAAUAAGUAGUGUAGCGGUGAAAUGCAUAGAUAUUACUUAGAACACCAAUUGCGAAGGCAGGUUACUAAGCAACAACUGACGCUGAUGGACGAAAGCGUGGGGAGCGAACAGGAUUAGAUACCCUGGUAGUCCACGCCGUAAACGAUGCUAACUCGUUUUUGGGCUUUCGGGUUCAGAGACUAAGCGAAAGUGAUAAGUUAGCCACCUGGGGAGUAC